AUCGAGUUAAAAUAGGGCAGCGAAGUCGCUCGGUAUACAUUUUUAGCGACUUUUAUCACUUUUUAUCCAACUUCGACUGGACAAAAGGUCAAUCUAUUGCUGUACUGUACCCGACACAGAAUUUGUGUCUUUCAUUCAUGUAAAGGUAAGUUUGAUGUCUAAGAUUAAAGGUAGUGUUAAGUGGUUUAAUGAGUCGAAAGGCUUCGGUUUCAUUACUCCAGAAGACGGUAGCAAAGAUGUGUUCGUACACUUCUCUGCAAUCCAGAGCAAUGGUUUCAAAACUCUGGCUGAAGGUCAGCGUGUAGAGUUCGAAAUCACUGACGGUGCCAAAGGUCCUUCUGCUGCUAACGUUAACGCUAUUUAAUUAUACCGAUUUCGUGAAAAACCCGCCAAUGGCGGGUUUUUUUUG
rnacentral:sRNA from 1 species